rnacentral:rRNA from 1 species
GAUGAACGCUGGCGGCGUGCCUAAUACAUGCAAGUCGAGCGAACGGACGAGAAGCUUGCUUCUCUGAUGUUAGCGGCGGACGGGUGAGUAACACGUGGAUAACCUACCUAUAAGACUGGGAUAACUUCGGGAAACCGGAGCUAAUACCGGAUAAUAUUUUGAACCGCAUGGUUCAAAAGUGAAAGACGGUCUUGCUGUCACUUAUAGAUGGAUCCGCGCUGCAUUAGCUAGUUGGUAAGGUAACGGCUUACCAAGGCAACGAUGCAUAGCCGACCUGAGAGGGGGUUGGCCCACACUGAAGCUGAGCCGCGGUCCAGAGUCCUACGGAAGGCAGAGGUGGGGAAUCUUCGGAACUGGCGAAAGCCUGACGGAGCAACGCCGCGUGAGUGAUGAAGGUCUUCGGAUCGUAAAACUCUGUUAUUAGGGAAGAACAUAUGUGUAAGUAACUGUGCACAUCUUGACGGUACCUAAUCAGAAAGCCACGGCUAACUACGUG